CGCACGGUGGCUUAGUGGUUAGCAUGUUUGCAUCAAACCUUCAGGGUCAGGGGUUCAAUUCCCACUGUGUGU